GAGAGACCUUCUUUCUUAACAUCACAUAUCAAGCCUUUAAAUGGCUUUGCUGGGUCACAUGCUUAUCCCCGAGACCAGGAGGUCAUGGCACUACUGUGGGUGGUCUCACUAGGAAGAUUUGGGGAGUAGGGGCAGAAUACUGGCAGGCAGUCAUAUAUAUCCACUGUAUGCUUCAAGAUAGUGAUGUGAUCUGCAGCUUUUAGUUGAAGUAAUUACAUAUGUCCACCUUUUGGAAGUUUUUAUGAAUGAGUAGUGUUAAGUGAUACAAAUAUGUUGUUCAUUUUAGUCCUUGCAUUAUCUUAUUUUCAGGAUAAAAUAUACCCUAAAGUUUUCAUAAAAUAUUUUUCUUUCCAUUAUUCCUGUUAAUUCACAAUUGUUCUUUACUUAUUUAUGGAUAUGUUUGAAAUGAAGGUUCCCCACGUGUGAAAGUCAAGAAUCUGAUUGACAGCAUGCAAAUAAAUGGGUCAGUGUUGAAGAAUGACUCCCUGACAAAUCAUUUCUCUUUUGAAAAAAAAAAGGCCAGAGUGGCUGUCUUAAUAUCUGGAACAGGAUCGAACCUGCAAGCACUCAUAGACAGUACUCGCGAACCAAAUAGCUCUGCACAAAUUGAUAUU
rnacentral:sRNA from 1 species